CUGUCCUGUCUUUCAGAGAAGCGUUCCCUCCAGUCUGUGAGGGGAAUAUUUCAGCGCCUCUUCUCCUCUUCCUCAACCAGCCAGGCUGAAGCUCAGGAAUCCACCCCACCUCCACUCACUGACACCAUGUCCUCAGAGGAGAUCAAAGCCUGGGAAGAAGAAGAGUUGGAUAAGCCAAUCAGUAUGGAGGAGAUAUGGAUUGAUCCUUCCACCUUUCAACUGGUGGAGAGAACCCCCCUUCACAAGACCCACACUUUGUUCUCCUUGCUGGGUCUCAGUCAUGCCUAGGUUACCAGCAUUGGGAAACUGGUGGGAGUCGUAGUUGCAGAAGGCCAUCGAGGGCUCCACCCUUAGUGGGGUGAGAUUGCGCCCCCCUCUGGCCAGUUUCAGAAAUGCCAACCGUAAAGCCAAGAAGCAUGAGGCUCCUCCCACCACCCCCUCCUCCCCCACCAGGAAGAGGGAGCUGUGGGGUGAGGGGGGGAAGAGGAAGGAAGGGGGCGAGGGGUUUAGGUGGGAGGUUAAGGAAGAAAAGGGUAGAGAUGGAGAAAAGAGGGAGGAAGAGAUGGAAAGGUGGAAGGAUGAGGUGGUUAGGACAGAGGGAAAGGGUGACAUGGAUGAGGCUCAGGAAGAACCCAGGGGGAACACAGGAGGAGCAGGUGGCUCCAGUGCAGGUGCAGAGUGUGAUACCUCCACCCCCAACAGCGAAGGGACAGACUGUCUCCCUCAGGAGCCUUCCUCCCCCGUCUCCCCCACCUCACCACCCUCCUCCUCCACUCGUGUCUUCAUUGUGUCAUCCCUUCCUACCGUGCCGGAUACGGAUGGAGAUAGGGAGAACAAAGAUUCUGAAGAGCCGAUUUAGAUGGCGACUGAGGGAAUUCUGUGGAUUCUGUUUCUUAAAUCAAGACCUCUCUGGCCUCAUUCAGUGAGAGGGUGUCAAGGUGCAUCCUGGGUAAUGGAGUUCUGUGCAGGCUCAUUCGAGGCUCUGAAGAUGUUCAGCUUUCAGGGAGCAGGAAGAACAGGUGUACACAGUGCUUCUGGGACUUGUAGUUUUGGAAUUUCUAGUAGCUAAUAAUACUUUUUGUACCAUGGUAGCCUCUUUCCUUAUUUUUCUGUGGAUCUCACUCAUCUUUAAUUAUUUUUUUCUACUCAAGACAGACAGCCUAUUCCUUUUCACUAUUUCAGUUUCUCAGGUCUCUCUCCGUGUCUUUCAAACUACAAAAAUGGACAGAUGUUCUAAGUUCUUCAUCUGUACCUAUCAUUGUUGGUCUCCUUGUCCCGGUAUUGUUGAAUGUAUGAAUGUGUUUGUAGCUACAUGGUAGUGUAUGUCUGUAUCACUGAACUCCAUGUAUCUUUAUGGCACUGUAUAUGACAGCAAUGAAAUGUUUGAUAAUGAAAUCACAUCAUUAAUCAUGACCAUGUCUGUCAAUGGACUGAUUUAUAUUUCAUCAAAUCGAUUGAACGUUUACUGAUUAAUGAAUAUACAGGCUUUAAAUGAUUACUGUAACCACUAAAGUAAAUAUUGAAAUUGUUCGUACCGUUGCCUAUCUACUAUUCUUAUGGAAUACAAUAAAUAUUGUUUUCAGUAACAU